rnacentral:rRNA from 1 species
GAUCAUGGCUCAGGAUGAACGCUAGCUACAGGCUUAACACAUGCAAGUCGAGAGGCAGCAUUGGGGUAGCAAUACUCAGAUGGCGACCGGCGCACGGGUGAGUAACACGUAUCCAACCUGCCGCUUACUCGGGGAUAGCCUUUCGAAAGAAAGAUUAAUACCCGAUGGUAUAAGGAGUUCGCAUGUUCUCUUUAUUAAAGAGUUUCGGUAAGCGAUGGGGAUGCGUUCCAUUAGAUAGUUGGCGGGGUAACGGCCCACCAAGUCUACGAUGGAUAGGGGUUCUGAGAGGAAGGUCCCCCACAUUGGAACUGAGACACGGUCCAAACUCCUACGGGAGGCAGCAGUGAGGAAUAUUGGUCAAUGGACGAGAGUCUGAACCAGCCAAAGUAGCGUGAAGGAUGACUGCCCUAUGGGUUGUAAACUUCUUUUAUAAGGGAAUAAAGUGAGGGACGUGUCCCUUUUUGUAUGUACCUUAUGAAUAAGGAUCGGCUAACUCCGUGCCAGCCGCCGC